UGUGCCAGCAGCCGCGGUAAUACAGAGGGUGCAAGCGUUAAUCGGAAUUACUGGGCGUAAAGCGCACGUAGGCGGUUUUUUAAGUCAGAUGUGAAAGCCCCGGGCUCAACCUGGGAAUUGCAUUUGAAACUGGGGAACUAGAGUGUGUGAGAGGGGGGUAGUAUUCCAAGUGUAGCGGUGAAAUGCGUAGAGAUUUGGAGGAAUACCAGUGGCGAAGUCGGCCUCCUGGCACAACACUGACGCUCAGGUGCGAAAGCGUGGGGAGCAAACAGGAUUA
rnacentral:rRNA from 1 species